CCCAUGCAAAGAAACUUUUAACUAAAGGUAUUUUGAAUGUCAUGACAUGUGCAGAAGAGCACAAAUUUUCAUCUGUUGCCAUUCCAGCACCGAGCUCUGGAAUAUUCAACUUUCCAGUCUCAAUUUGUGCUGAUGUUGUAGUCACCACAAUCAAAAAGUACAUUAAACAUAAGAACCCCACAAGUCCUCCAUUUGAAAUACACCUGGUAAACAACGAUGAUCCAACCAUGAAGGAAAUGGAAAGGGCCUUCAAAGAGAUCCUUUUGGAGCCACUCUCUGAUGUCAGGAGGACAGGGCCAGAGGAUUCUCCAUCUACACUGGAAAGGACAGAGCACCUUGAGAGAAACACAACCGGUCUGACAAAGGACACUGCAUCACAGGUCGCAUAUUUGUGGAAACAACAGGAAACGGAAGUUGUUGUUUCUGUGGUCCCAUCUCAGAUUAGAGGUAACAACUUUCUCAUACGUCACAGUGAGUUCCUGACCCUUAGACCACACAGCUGGCUUGUUGGAGAGGUAUGUGAUCCAGGUAUUAACCCCCCUUCCCCCCAAAAGUACUGCAUAAGGUUAACAUUAAAGCUGGGGCAGAACAUUAGUUGUUCCCUACACAUCUAGUAAGUACUGCUUUAGAUCUACAUUCCAGGCAUAUCCUCAUGACUGAAUACUGAGUAUACGUAAGUAAAAAACUCUUUAUUAACCUUUGUAUUCAAAAAAUUUAUCAUGUUUACAAAGUAAUAAAAGUUUAUUUAUUAUACUCCUCAGGUCAUUGAAAGUCUCCUGUACCACUGGGCCAUUCGGCUGAAUCUGGGGAAUAAUAUCUACAUUAUGAACCACUACACCAGCG